rnacentral:rRNA from 1 species
UACGAAGGGACCUAGCGUAGUUCGGAAUUACUGGGCUUAAAGAGCUCGUAGGUGGUUAAAAAAGUUGAUGGUGAAAUCCCAAGGCUCAACCUUGGAACUGCCAUCAAAACUUUUUAGCUAGAGUGUGAUAGAGGAAAGUGGAAUUUCUAGUGUAGAGGUGAAAUUCGUAGAUAUUAGAAAGAACACCGAAAGCGAAGGCAACUUUCUGGGUCACUACUGACACUGAGGAGCGAAAGCAUGGGUAGCGAAGAGG